rnacentral:rRNA from 1 species
ACUCCUACGGGAGGCAGCAGUGGGGAAUUUUGGACAAUGGGCGAAAGCCUGAUCCAGCAAUGCCGCGUGAGUGAAGAAGGCCUUCGGGUUGUAAAGCUCUUUUGUCAGGGAAGAAACGGUGAGAGCUAAUAUCUCUUGCUAAUGACGGUACCUGAAGAAUAAGCACCGGCUAACUACGUGCCAGCAGCCGCGGUAAUACGUAGGGUGCAAGCGUUAAUCGGAAUUACUGGGCGUAAAGCGUGCGCAGGCGGUUUUGUAAGUCUGAUGUGAAAUCCCCGGGCUCAACCUGGGAAUUGCAUUGGAGACUGCAAGGCUAGAAUCUGGCAGAGGGGGGUAGAAUUCCACGUGUAGCAGUGAAAUGCGUAGAUAUGUGGAGGAACACCGAUGGCGAAGGCAGCCCCCUGGGUCAAGAUUGACGCUCAUGCACGAAAGCGUGGGGAGCAAACAGGAUUAGAUACCCGUGUAGUCCCAUGA